rnacentral:rRNA from 1 species
AACGAACGCUGGCGGCAUGCCUAACACAUGCAAGUCGAACGAGACCUUCGGGGCUAGUGGCGCACGGGUGCGUAACGCGUGGGAACCUGCCCUUAGGUUCGGAAUAACUCCCCGAAAGGGGUGCUAAUACCGGAUAAGGUCUUCGGACCAAAGAUUUAUCGCCUUUGGAUGGGCCCGCGUUGGUUUAGCUAGUUGGUAGGGUAAAAGCCUACCAAGGCGACGAUCCAUAGCUGGUCUGAGAGGAUGAUCAGCCACACUGGGACUGAGACACGGCCCAGACUCCUACGGGAGGCAGCAGUGGGGAAUAUUGCACAAUGGGCGAAAGCCUGAUCCAGCAAUGCCGCGUGAGUGAUGAAGGUCUUAGGGUUGUAAAGCUCUUUUACCCGGGACGAUAAUGACAGUACCGGGAGAAUAAGCCCCGGCUAACUCCGUG